UAAUUAAGUGAAGUUGAGGCAAGAGAACGAAUUAAAAAUAGAUGCAGAAUUGAAGAGAGAAAUAAUAAGCAAGGAGAAAUAAUUGUACUACUUACUUUUAGUCCCACAUUGACUGCCUAAUUUCAUUGUUUAGUGUUUAUAUACCAUAGUUAAGAGAACCACUAUCGUCCCUUCGGGGACAUCCGAUAAAAUUGGAACGAUACAGAGAAGAUUAGCAUGGCCCCUGCGCAAGGAUGACACGCACAAAUCGAGAAAUGGUCCAAAUUUUUUUGAGAUUUUUUUCCCUGUCUCGUCUUCUUCGCUGCCGUUCAGACAUUGUUGUUAGGGUUUUGCUUUUCUGCAUUUCCUUUUCUCUUUGAUUUUGAGUUUAGGGUUUUGUUUUCUCUUCAAUGCAGGUGGUGUUCGUGACGACGUGACUCCUAUUUCAACCAAGUAUUAGGGUUUUGUUUUCUGAUUUUUUUUUGACUUUUCUCUCCCGUUCAGAUAUUAUUAGGGUUUUGUUUUCUACAUUUCGUUUUCCUUUUUUCUUUGAUUUUGAGUUUCUUUCAAUGCAGGUGGUGUUCAUGACGAGGUGACUCCUACUUCAACCAAGUAUUAUGUAUGGUUAAAUUCUUGUUCUGAUUUGGUUAUUCUAUCAUUGUUAUGUGUUUGCGAAAACAUAGCUUUCAGUUUUCGUUAUGUAUAGUUAAAUCAUUGUUCUGAUUUGGUUCACCAUAUCGAUCUUCGUUUCAGAAAACAUCAAAUUCACCAUAUAUAUAUAACAUCAUAGCUUUCAGUUUUAUUCUGAUUUGGUUAUGUAUAGAGUUCAUGUGAUAAUGGUCACCACCUUCUUCAACUGUUGGUAGAUUCUUGUCUUAAUUUCAUUUCAAUGCUACUGACUUGCUUCAAAAUUCUGUCACGUGUAAAACAAGUUGAAUUUCUUUUAUAGGUUAUGGUUUUUCUUUAAAGAUUUAUUUCUUUUGAGCUUUGUUGUAUGGUCUCACUACGUAUCCAAUAGAAUAACCAGCCUUGCAUUACCAUAUCUACUAUGUAAGAAUAGUCAGUUUCCAUAAAAUUGGUGCGUUGCAGGGAAUUGUAGACCUUCCAUUGGAUGACAGUAAUCACAUUCCUCUCUAGUAUGGAGUAAUUUACAGUACCAUUGCAUGCAUGCUCAUAAUUCGUCUUUUGAGAGUUUCUCUUGAAAUGCAUGCUGAGUAAAGUACUUCUCACUGGGAGAUUUUACCACUUUUGAGAUGUUUUAACAUGUAGGCAUGUCUGAAACAUAAGAAUCAUGUCAUUGCAAUGGUUUAAAAAUUAGUAGGUUUUGUGGACUGAUUUCAUUUUGUGAAUGGUCACCAUGUUACCACAUCUUCUUAAUGUGGGACAUACAUGUAAAUUACUCUCUCAAUUCUUAAGCAAUUAUUCAAUCUUGACAAAGACCUCUAGACAGUAGUUUGUGAUCUGUUGUGAACCACAGUCUGAUUAUCUCCAACUAGGCUCUUCAAGAAUAAUAAAUAUAUCAACAUUAAGCUGUGUUGUUAAUAGGAAGAGAACAUGUGCCAUGUCUGAUGCAUGUCUGAAAAGAAAUGAGCAGGCAUUGUACAAGCUAGCAUUGAGUUUAACUUGCGCACAUAUCAAUUGAUUUUCAGUGGCUAUGGUUUGCACUCUUGUUGAAUUUAUCUAUACUUGAUAGAUAGAGGCAUCUAAGACAGUACCAUGUGAUCUAUUGUCUCAUGGGACCCAUCAUUUUAACAAUAAUUUCUCAAUCAAAUGGAUUUCAAGAUACUAUUGGAAACUAUAUAUGCACCACCAUCUUCCUUCACAACAUCACAAACCACUCAAGCAAACAAAUUUACAUACACUUUUCUUAAAUCUGAGAAAUUCAGUUUGUUUUUCAAACCAUUACAAGAUGGGUUUCCGAUUACCUUCUAUUAGACGUGCUUCUUUUAUAGGUAGCCAAGCAUCGUCAAAAACUUUGAAUGUGCCAAAAGGUUAUCUUGCUGUGUAUGUUGGAGAGAAAAUGAAGCGCUUUGUUAUUCCUAUGUCUUACUUGAACCAACCUUCAUUUCAAGACUUGUUGGAUGCAGCUGAGGAAGAAUUCGGAUAUGAUCAUCCGAUGGGCGGCCUCACAAUUCCUUGCACGCAAGAUGUUUUCUUGCAUAUUACUUCUCGCUUCAAUGGACUAUAAAUCUAGAGCUGCAAGAUACUGACAUUAGAUUAGCAGUGACAUUUUGUACAACAGUCACAAUUUUAUAUUUGUAUAGAUUUUUCCUUUCCCUACUUUUGGAAUGGGUUAGAAUUGUCCAUCUGAAUGACAAAUUCAGGAACAAAAUAUUUGUUAUUAUUUAUUUCUAAUCAUAAUGAAAUUAUAUUCAACAACGAACGGGUUCCUAUAUGCUUCUAUUUAUAAAUUCUAAUACAGAAAAUAUAUUGUUUAUUAAAAUUCAGUCCAAUCAGUAAUAAUUUUCUAGUUUUUAAGGCAGUGGUUAUCAUUAUAUCAAACCAAUUAUUCUACAUUUAUCGGCCUAGUUAAUUAUUUAGCCAAACUAUAAUUGUAGAUAAGUUACCUUGUAUCUAAGUUUAAUUUUUUUUACACACCUUAUGAUUCUAUUCUAUCAACUGCUUCUUCAUCUAGGCAGAGCAAUGAACUGAAGAUAAGUUGCAGGACAGUUAAAUGUUUGUUUUGUCUGUUCGGGCGAAGUUGUUUGACCACAACAGCUCUGAUUAAGGGAAGCUUUGAGUUAUGUUAUUUACUCGAAAUUCAUGUUUAACUGCCAUUUUAUGUGUAGAUUUUGGCUAAACAGAGAACUAGCAAUAGAAGACUUUUCAUAAUUUGGUCAAUAAGUGGUUGUUCAAGCAAGAAACUGUAUGUAAGAAGAUAUCUUCCUUGCACGGAAUUGUAAGACCGCCCAUUGGAUGACAGUAACCGUAUUCCUCUUCAGCUUGGAUAAGCAAUUCUUGAAAUAAAGGCUCGUUCAAGAAUGAUAUUGGAAUCAAGAACCUCCUUGCUUUCUCUCCGACAUACACCGCAAGAUAGCCUUUUGGGACUUCCACUUGUUUGCUAGAUGAUGAUCGUCUAAUACCAGGGAAUUGUAGACCUUCCAUUGGAUGACAGUAAUCACAUUCCUCUCUAGUAUGGAGUAAUUUACAGUACCAUUGCAUGCAUGCUCAUAAUUCGUCUUUUGAGAGUUUCUCUUGAAAUGCAUGCCGAGUAAAGUACUUCUCACUGGGAGCUUUUACCACUGUUGAUAUGUUUUAACAUGUAGGCAUGUUUGAAACAUAAGAAUCAUGUCAUUUCAAUGGCUUGAAAAUCAGUAGGUUUUGUGUACUAAUUUCAUUUUGUGAAUGGUCAUCAUGUUACCACAUCUUCUUAAUGUGGGACAUACAUGUAAAUUACUCUCUCAAUUCUUAAGCAACUAUUCAAUCUUGACAAAGACCUCUAGACAGUAGUUUGUGAUCUGUUGUGAACCACAGUCUGAUUAUCUCCAACUAGGCUCUUCAAGAAUAAUAAAUAUGUGCAAUUCAUAAAUAGUGUAUGAUUGAUAUUUCUCAUAAUUGUCAGAUCACAUAUCAACAUUAAGCUGUGUUGUUAAUAUGAUGUCUGAUGCCAUGUCUGAAAAGAAAUGAACAGGCAUUGUACAAGCUAGCAUCUCAAUCGAUUUUCAGUGGCUAUGGUGUUUUUUUACACGCCUUAUGAUUCUAUUCUAACAACUGCUUCUUCAUCUAGGCAGAGUAAUGAAUGAAGAUAAGUUGCAGGACAGUUAAAUGUUUGUGUUGUCUGUUCGGGCGAAGUUGUUUGACUACAACAACUCUGAUGAAGGGAAGCUAAGCUAGAGCAUAGUACCUGGUUUCAACUGAUGGUCCAGCAAAACUUUGAAUUAUGUUAUUUACUUGAAAUCCAUUUUUAUGUGUAGAUUUUAGCUGAACACAGAACUAGCAAUAGAAGACUUUUCAUAAUUUGGUCAAUAAGUGGUUGUUCAAGCAAGAAACUGUAUGUAAGAAGAUAUCUUCCUUGCACGGAAUUGUAAGACCGCCCAUUGGAUGACAGUAACCGUAUUCCUCUUCAGCUUGGAUAAGCAAUUCUUGAAAUAAAGGCUCGUUCAAGAAUGAUAUUGGAAUCAAGAACCUCCUUGCUUUCUCUCCGACAUACACCGCAAGAUAGCCUUUUGGGACUUCCACUUGUUUGCUAGAUGAUGAUCGUCUAAUACCAGGUUCCAUUGUUGCCUCCUAGCAUAUAUGAUUUGUAGCCACUAAUUGGCUUAAAAGUCAUCCCUAAGAUGAUUUUUUGCUGCUAUAUGUCGACGUUGAGCCGUGUUACCAGUAUGAAGAGAACACGGCACAUGUCUACUAAUACAUGAGUUGCCGUAAAAUAGAUUUCAAUUAUUAGAUGUGCUUCAUUAAGAAGAAGCCGAACAUCAUCAAAGGUACUGAAUAUGCCGAAGGGUUAUCUUGCCGUGUAUGUUGGAGAAGAAAUGAAGCGGUUUGUGAUCCCCAUGUCAUACUUGAACCAAACUUCAUUUCAAGGCUUGUUGAGUUAAGCUGAGGAAGAAUUUGGGUACGAUCAUUCAAUGCGUGGCCUCACAAUUUCUUGCACAGAAGAUGUUUUCUUGCAUAUUACUUCUCGCUUCGACGGACUAUAAAUCUAAAAUUGCAAGAUAUUGACAUAGACUAGUAUUGACAUUUUGUACAAUAGGCAUAUUUUAAACUUGUAAAAUAUUUUCCUUAUUCCUUUAUUGGGAAUGGAUGAAAUUUGUCCAUCUGAAUGACAUAAUUUUGAACAACUCAA